AUUGAACGCUGGCGGCAGGCCUAACACAUGCAAGUCGAGCGGAUGAGGGAAGCUUGCUUCCUGAUUUAGCGGCGGACGGGUGAGUAAUGCCUAGGAAUCUGCCUAUUAGUAGGGGAUAACGUUCCGAAAGGAACGCUAAUACCGCAUACGUCCUACGGGAGAACGUGGGGGAUCUUCGGACCUCACGCUAAUAGAUGAGCCUAGGUCGGAUUAGCUAGUUGGGGAGGUAACGGCUCACCAAGGCGACGAUCCGUAGCUGGUCUGAGAGGAUGAUCAGCCACACUGGAACUGAGACACGGUCCAGACUCCUACGGGAGGCAGCAGUGGGGAAUAUUGGACAAUGGGCGAAAGCCUGAUCCAGCCAUGCCGCGUGUGUGAAGAAGGUCUUCGGAUUGUAAAGCACUUUAAGUUGGGAGGAAGGGCUGUAAGCUAAUAUCUUGCAGCUUUGACGUUACCAACAGAAUAAGCACCGGCUAACUCUGUGCCAGCCGCCGCGGUAAAAC
rnacentral:rRNA from 1 species